UACAGAGGUCUCAAGCGUUGUUCGGAUUCAUUGGGCGUAAAGAGCGUGUAGGCGGCCAUACAGGUCCGUUGUGAAAACUCGAGGCUUAACCUCGAGACGUCGAUGGAAACCGUAUGGCUAGAGUCCGGAAGAGGAGAGUGGAAUUCCUGGUGUAGCGGUGAAAUGCGCAGAUAUCAGGAAGAACACCCGUGGCGAAGGCGGCUCUCUGGGACGGUACUGACGCUGAGACGCGAAAGCGUGGGGAGCGAACAGG
rnacentral:rRNA from 1 species